rnacentral:sRNA from 1 species
UUAUAUCAAUGAAGUCCGAGUCAUACCCCCAGGAGUAAGAGCCCAUAGCAGUCUGCCAGACAAUAGAGCAUAUGGAGAGACAUCUCCGCAUACAUUUCAAUUAGACUUAUUCUUCAACAAUGUAAGCAAACCAAGUGCCCCUGUUUUCGAUAGGUUGGGAAGCCUGGAAUAUGAUGAGAAUACUUCCAUCAUCUUUAGACCUAACUCAAAGCUGAUGGGGAGAAAGAAGAUCAGUUUAAUGGAAGCCCUCCAAGACCACAGCCAAGGGGACCAAGAACUCCUCCAGGACCCCCUCCACCUGAUGAUGAUGAAGAUGAUCCUGUGCCUCUGCCAGUGUCUGGUGACAAGGAAGAGGAUGCUCCUCAUAGAGAAGAUUACUUUGAGCCCAUUUCUCCUGAUCGGAAUUCUGUUCCCCAGGAAGGGCAAUAUUCUGAUGAAGGAGAAGUAGAAGAGGAACCAC